UGGGGAAUAUUGCGCAAUGGGGGGAACCCUGACGCAGCCAUGCCGCGUGAAUGAAGAAGGCCUUCGGGUUGUAAAGUUCUUUCGGUAUUGAGGAAGGUUGAUGUGUUAAUAGCACAUCAAAUUGACGUUAAAUACAGAAGAAGCACCGGCUAACUCCGUGCCAGCAGCCGCGGUAAUACGGAGGGUGCGAGCGUUAAUCGGAAUAACUGGGUGUAAAGGGCACGCAGGCGGUUAUUUAAGUGAGGUGUGAAAGCCCCGGGCUUAACCUGGGAAUUGCAUUUCAGACUGGGUAACUAGAGUACUUUAGGGGGGGGUAGAAUUCCACGUGUAGCGGUGAAAUGCGUAGAGAUGUGGAGGAAUACCGAAGGCGAAGGCAGCCCCUUGGGAAUGUACUGACGCUCAUGUGCGAAAGCGUGGGGAGCAAACAGGAUUAGAUACCCUGGUAGUCCACGCUGUAAACGCUGUCGAUUUGGGGGUUGGGGUUUAACUCUGGCGCCCGUAGCUAACGUGAUAAAUCGACCGCCUGGGGAGUACGGCCGCAAGGUUA
rnacentral:rRNA from 1 species